rnacentral:ncRNA from 1 species
AAAUGAUUUUGGUUUGUGAACGGUGUAUGCUGUCAUCAAUAUUAUCUCAUUAUGGCGCCUCAAUGUCAAAAUAACUGUAUAUUUAAUUAUACUUGUUAGUUUCUUUUGAUAGAUGUGGUAGUGGUAUCUGGCUAUAACACCCGUUAGUUCUAUCCGUAUUGCUGGUGGUCUCGAGCCGGGAUAAUGGUGCAUGAAAUAACGGAAUAGGACCUCGGUUCUAUUUUGUUGGUUUCGAAGCGCGAGGUAAUGAUUUAGAGGGAAAGACGGGGGCAAUCAUACUGUGCCGUCAGCGGUGAAAUUCUUGGUUCGGCGCAAGACGAACGACUGCAAAAGCAUUUGCCAAGAAUGUUUUUUUUUAUUCAAGAGCAAAAGUCAGAGGUUUAAAGUCUCUUUGUUUCUGACGAGCCACUCU